UCGGGAUAGCUCAGCUGGUAGAGCAG
rnacentral:tRNA from 3 species